AACAGAGAGAAAGAAAAAGAAAAAAAAGAAAAAGCAAGAGGUGCUGGCCAUUCCAGGUACCAUGAGGCCAAUGAAAUCAAUGUUCUGUCCUUUCCUUCAUGGUACUGACUGAAGAUCUUUAUCUGAUGUGUUGGAUCACAGGCACAGGCAGGGACAAGAGACAACUUCUACACAUGUCCCAGCCUCUGCUUCACUGGGAACAAGAAGUUGCUCUGAAGUAGACCCCUGAGCAACACAGGUAUAUGAGGAUUUUCCUCCGCCUCGGCCACCCCUGAGACAGCAAGAUCAAUCCUUCCUCUUCCUCCUCUUCCUCCACCUCCUCAAUGUGAAGAUGAUGAGAAUGAAGACCUUGAUGAUGAUCCACUUCCACUUAAUGAAUAGUGAAUCCAUUUCCUCCUCCUUAUGAUUUUCCUAAAAGCAUUUUCUUUUCUCUAGCUUGCUUUAUUAGAAGAAUACCAUAUAUAAUACAUAUAAACAUACACGAUAUGUAUUAAUUUACUGUUUAUAAUAUUGGUGAGGUUUCUGGCCAAGAUUUCUUCCCAGUUCUGACAUUAAAAAAUGCUUCCUGAACACAUGUUGUUCAAGGAUCCACUGUAUAUUAAUUAUAUAAUGUAUAUAUUUAUAAAGUAUAAAUUAAUAUAACUAUAUUAUGAAUUAAAAAUUUAUAAUAUAAUAAAGUAAUAAUUUAUAGAAAAUAAUAAUAAAUUCAUAACAAAUCAAUAUUAUGAUAUUGUAUAUCAAUAUGUAAUAUAGUAUAUUAAUAUUAUAUUAAUAUAUUAUAGUAUAAUAUUUAAAUAUUAUAAAUUAUAACAUAACUGUAUAUUAAUUAUAAAAUGUUUUAUAUGUAUGUACAUG
rnacentral:lncRNA from 10 species